rnacentral:rRNA from 1 species
AUGAUCAUCACUGAUGACGAUCUUGACUAUAUUGCCUUUGUUAAGGCUCGCCUUCGCGAUCAGUUCCUCAUGACUGAACUUGGUCCACUUCGCUACUUUCUUGGGAUUGAGAUCUCCUCAACCUCUGAUGGCUUCUACAUCUCCCAAGAAAAAUAUAUUCAGGAUCUUCUUGCUCGCGCUGCUCUCGGUGAUGAGCGCACAGUUGUGACUCCUAUGGAGCUCAACGUUCAGCUUCGUGCCUCCGAUGGUGAUCUUCUUCCUAAUCCCACUCGCUAUCGUCAUCUUGUUGGCAGUCUUGUCUAUCUUGCUGUUACGCGUCCUGACAUCUCCUAUCAUGUCCACAUCCUGAGUCAGUUUGUUUCAGCCCCCACCUCUGUCCACUAUAGCCAUCUCCUCCGUGUUCUACGAUAUCUUCGUUGUACGAUCUCUCAACGCCUUUUCUUUCCCCGCUCCAGCUCUCUUGAGCUCUAG